rnacentral:lncRNA from 1 species
AAGUAAUAUCUUAAUCAUCUUAGUAUCUGGAAGACAACAGUUUUGGCCUUGAAGACCCCCACCCACCACUGGGUCUAGGGACCUCCCAGGAGUCCUCAUGCCACAUUUUGAGAAUCACAGCUCUGCACAAUCUUCAGGAUCAAUGACACCUACAUCUAGGCCGUGGUGAAAUGAGAAGUAACGGAGUCCCAGCAGUAAUGCGGCACUUGGCUGUCCCCUGGCUUCGGUAGACACUCCUUCGCCAGAAUGCUUCCUUCCAUGCGCAGAGGGGUCUUCCGUCUGUAACCCCUGACCUCUCUCUGCGCCUAUGCCCUCUUCUCUUCCCCAGGAAGAUGUGUGACCUAUCUCAUUGGUAAAUUUGGGGUGAUAAAACUGAGGCUGUCUCUGGAAGAGCA